AUAAAGGGGGCUGAAGGACAAGAAGGGCACAGCUUGCAGCCUCCUGAAGUGGUCUGGUGCUACUCUGCAUGGGCUGAAGCCUUGUGAAAUUGGGUGGUGACACUCUUGGGAUUGUGGCCGUCUGAACCGUCUGCUACACCUUCCCAGCGGGGAUUUCCCCAGAAGCUCUCAGCCCUGCCCCUGCAGAAGGGAAGGAAGGUGAGGCCAGUGACCAGGGUGGAAAUCCUCAGCUUGAAGAGUAAAAAAAUGAAAUAAGACAGCUGUUGCACUGGGAAGGGAGGGAGUCCCCAUCUGCACAUGCCUCUUGCCUGGAAUAUCGGGGACUUUGGGCCCAGGUGGCUGAAUCCUCCCUCCAAAGCUCUGCUCUGCACCAGGAACAUUUCAGGAUACUCCUGCAAGCAUGAGUGCAUCCAUAAUUCUGUUUUCAGAGACAAAUCAUUUCAAGUAGAGUGCAUAGAGCUCAUGACACAAACACAUCUGGAUUUCAGUUGUUGAUGUGAAAUAUUCACAGUCCAAUAUGGUAGGAACAGAUGUUGGAUUGACACUCCUUGUAAAUGUGAAUGAUCACAUCACAAAUCCCAUAUGUAGUUUAGUUGAGAGCAGCAAAGCCUACCUGCCCACCUUGGUUUUGCUCUGGGGUUAAAAAUAUUUCCUUGCACCCUUCAUGCUAGUCACCACUCUAUUUUUAGUUGUAGGAGAGUGUAAUAAACCUCAAAAAGGUUUAGGUGUAAACUGUGGUAGGAAUUGAACUGACUGCCGUAAUCAAAAGUACUUGGUUUGAAAUGAAACAUAAAAAAACCUCUUUAAGUUGUUUAAUAUUAUCAUAUUUUGUGCUUGGUAAGCACUGCUGCAGAGGUCAGUGGUAUCAAACUUAAUAGGUUGAUCAUUAAAAGACAUCAAGUGUCUGUGCCUUCUGCUGAUGUAUGUAGAGGCUGAAGAAUUUCUGGUGCCUUUGAGGAAAAGUAGCUGAGGAAGGAAAAGUGCAGCUAAACAGGUCAGUCUAGGCUCCAUAGAAAGGUCACCUGAUUUUCCAGAAGCUUUUCACUUCCACAGCAUUUUGAAUGUGAGUUCUAUUGGUGUGAAUACUGCUAUAUAUGGCCUUCUUUUGGUAUUUACUUGUGAGUGUAUCCACCAGCUGGAGGAUCUUGAAAAAUUGUUUUGGAUUCUUAAAAUUGACCAUUUUCCAGAGCAAAAAGCUCCCAGACACAGCAGCUGGGGCCAGAACUUCUGCAGAAGAAAAGCCCAAGUCAUGUCCCCUUUCCCCCCUCUCAAAGCCCUGUUGGUUCUCUGAACAUUCAGACCAUGUUCUGUUCUUGGUGCAAGUCAUGAUUCUCCAGCACAAUGAGGGCUCCAAACCAGGGCAAGGGCAGUGUGGGAUUUCAGUGUGUGACCAAGGAUGAGUGAAAGGUGUCUGAAAAGAGAUUAAACAGCCGAAGAAAGAAUUAGGCACAAGCUGAAGGUAGAACCUUCAUGCCAGGGUGUGGGAGAAAGAAUCCCUCUUGAAUCUCUAGGAUUCUAAGACAGGGUUAAACCAAUGAAAAUUGUGUUAGUCAGUGUUUUAAAUAAAGAAAAGAGAAGUCAAGGCAAAAGAUGAGAGAGUUUUGAGGAAAAGCUGGAGUGCAGGGUAGGAAAAUUCUGAGUGCAUUAGGAAAAAUGCACUGGGGAACACAGGCAGCAGGGAAUCGUGUAUGUUUUUAUGUUACAAAGAGCACAUCCUAAACUGAGCCAUCUCAGAGUUUAAAAUUAUUCAGGGUAACUUCCUUUCCUAAGAGAGGAUUUCAUUUCUGAAUAGGCAAACAUUUAAAAUUGUAAAGAAGAGAAAGCAAGUACUUUCCUUGGAAGGAUGGAUGAAACAUAAAUCUUAAGCAGAACUAUAAACUGUUGAGACAAGGCAUUUUUGUUGGAUUAUGUAGCUCAUAUCAGAUCGCAAUAAAUCAAUCCUUCAAAGACAAAAGACUAUAGAAAGAGGAAUAAACCAAAGACUCUCCAAAUAACAAAGGCCAGAUACACAAAAGUAACUAAGGAGCUGAAGAGGCAAAUAGAUGCCUGGCAGGAUUUUAAAUGGGAUCAUUCAGCACAGACAAUCAUCACCUGCUAGUGGUUAUUGGUGUCUUUAGGCUCCUUCAGGCCUAGACACUUCCUUGACUGAGGUUAAAAUUCCCAUCAGCAUCAGGGAAAUU